CAAGCAAGACAGAGUACGAGGUGGAUGCCUAGGCGCUGAAGGCCGAAGAAGGACGCGGAGACCGGCGAAACGUUCAGGGGGA
rnacentral:rRNA from 1 species